UACGUAGGGUGCAAGCGUUGUCCGGAAUUAUUGGGCGUAAAGAGCUCGUAGGCGGUUUGUCGCGUCUGCUGUGAAAACUCGGGGCUUAACUCCGGGCCUGCAGUGGGUACGGGCAGACUAGAGUGCGGUAGGGGAGAACGGAAUUCCUGGUGUAGCGGUGAAAUGCGCAGAUAUCAGGAGGAACACCGGUGGCGAAGGCGGGUCUCUGGGCAACAACUGACGCUGAGGAGCGAAAGCGUGGGGAGCGAACAGG
rnacentral:rRNA from 1 species